rnacentral:rRNA from 1 species
AGCGAACGCUGGCGGCAGGCUUAACACGUGCAAGUCGAGCGGGCAUCCUCGUGGUGUCAGCGGCAGACGGGUGAGUAACGCGUGGGAACGUGCCCUUCGGUUCGGAAUAACUCAGGGAAACUUGAGCUAAUACCGGAUACGUGCGAGAGCAGAAGGGUUUACUGCCGAAGGAUCGGCCCGCGUCUGAUUAGCUAGUUGGUGUGGUUUCGGCUCAACAAGGCGACGAUCAGUAGCUGGUCCGAGAGGCUGAUCAGCCACACUGGGGCUGAGACACGACCGAGACUGCGACGGGAGGCAGCAGUGGGGAAUAUUGGACCAUGGGGGCAACCCUGAUCCAAGCAUGCGGCGUGAGUGAUGACGGCCUUAGUGUUGUAAAGCUGUUUUCUCCGGGACAAUAAUAACGGUACCGGAGGAAUAAGCCCCGGCUAACGUCGUGCCAGAAGCCGCAGUAA